rnacentral:lncRNA from 1 species
CAAAGAAGUAGUUUUCAACAAACCAAGUGAUAUUUGCAAGGAGCAGUGAAAGAAUGGAAUAACCAGAUGAAGAAAAAACAGGACCAAGAUUUUGCUCAUUGUCUGGAAGACAAAUCCUUCUGGCAAUUAAUUGAAACACAACAGUGUUGCAUAUAACAGCAUGUGCUUGUGAUUACUAUUCUGUCUACACAAAUUACAGGUAAAAUACUGUUGCAAAAUAAAUUAGACACAGUUCCAUAACA